UACGGAGGGUGCAAGCGUUAUCCGGAUUCACUGGGUUUAAAGGGUGCGUAGGUGGGCAGGUAAGUCAGUGGUGAAAUCUCCGGGCUUAACCCGGAAACUGCCAUUGAUACUAUCUGUCUUGAAUACCGUGGAGGUGAGCGGAAUAUGUCAUGUAGCGGUGAAAUGCUUAGAUAUGACAUAGAACACCGAUAGCGAAGGCAGCUUGCUACACAGUUAUUGACACUGAGGCACGAAAGCGUGGGGAGCAAACAGG
rnacentral:rRNA from 1 species